rnacentral:pre_miRNA from 1 species
AUAACUUGGAGAUCUUGUUAAAAUGCAGAUUCUGAUUUGUAUUUGGUAGAUUGGGGGCAGGAUCUGAGAUUCUGCAUUUCUAACAAGCUUCAAGGUGAUAAGGA